GCGUGAUCAGACGGAAACGAGGAAACGUCAUCGACACGGAUGAACAGCAAAACUAACGUCUCUCGCUUGUUUUCAAUGAUUUCAGGUUAAAAUGGAGUCGGACAAAGAUGGAAAGACUCAAGAAGAAGUGACAACAUGUGGAAUGCAACAGGACGUCUCUGAAGUUGCAGCUUUUAGUGUGGAGUGCUCGGGCCGCGGCGUCACGACUGAACCGUACGGAGAACUGAACUCAGAGCCGCAGGAGCAUCAAAUAUUUACACACCGCAUUGUGGACGGCGAUACACGGCUCAGAACGGCACAGAAGUGCAACACACUCUUUUAUCUGUCACAUCCACAACUGUAUUAAAGCAAUCACAUGCAAUCAGGUGGAUCCAACCUUGAGUGUGUAUGUGCUGGGAACAGGGUGGAUGAG